rnacentral:rRNA from 1 species
CACGUAGGCACCAAGCGUUGUCCGGAUUAUUGGGCGUAAAGAGCUCGUAGGCGGUUCAGUAAGUCGGGUGUGAAACUCAGGGCUCAACCCUGAGCGGCCACCCGAUACUGCUGUGACUUGAGUCUGGGUAGGGGAGUGGGGAAUUCCUGGUGUAGCGGUGAAAUGCGCAGAUAUCAGGAGGAACACCGGUGGCGAAGGCGCCACUCUGGGCCACGACUGACGCUGAGGAGCGAAGCAUGGGUAGCAAACAGG